rnacentral:piRNA from 1 species
UGGGAUUUCACAGCACUAGCUAGCAGCCC